rnacentral:rRNA from 1 species
AGAGUUUGAUCAUGGCUCAGAUUGAACGCUGGCGGCAGGCCUAACACAUGCAAGUCGAACGGUAACAGGAAGCAGCUUGCUGCUUCGCUGACGAGUGGCGGACGGGUGAGUAAUGACUGAGAAGCUGCCUGAUGGAGGGGGAUAACUACUGGAAACGGUAGCUAAUACCGCAUAAUGUCGCAAGACCAAAGAGGGGGACCUUCGGGCCUCUUGCCAUCGGAUGUGCCCAGAUGGGAUUAGCUUGUUGGUGGGGUAACGGCUCACCAAGGCGACGAUCCCUAGCUGGUCUGAGAGGAUGACCAGCCACACUGGAACUGAGACACGGUCCAGACUCCUACGGGAGGCAGCAGUGGGGAAUAUUGCACAAUGGGCGCAAGCCUGAUGCAGCCAUGCCGCGUGUAUGAAGAAGGCCUUCGGGUUGUAAAGUACUUUCAGCGGGGAGGAAGGGAGUAAAGUUAAUACCUUUGCUCAUUGACGUUACCCGCAGAAGAAGCACCGGCUAACUCCGUGCCAGCAGCCGCGGUAAUACGGAGGGUGCAAGCGUUAAUCGGAAUUACUGGGCGUAAAGCGCACGCAGGCGGUUUGUUAAGUCAGAUGUGAAAUCCCCGGGCUCAACCUGGGAACUGCAUCUGAUACUGGCAAGCUUGAGUCUCGUAGAGGGGGGUAGAAUUCCAGGUGUAGCGGUGAAAUGCGUAGAGAUCUGGAGGAAUACCGGUGGCGAAGGUGGCCCCUGGACGAAGACUGACGCUCAGGUGCGAAAGCGUGGGGAGCAAACAGGAUUAGAUACCCUGGUAGUCCACGCCGUAAACGAUGUCGACUUGGAGGUUGUGCCCUUGAGGCGUGGCUUCCGGAGCUGACGCGUUAAGUCGACCGCCUGGGGAGUACGGCCGCAAGGUUAAAACUCAAAUGAAUUGACGGGGGCCCGCACAAGCGGUGGAGCAUGUGGUUUAAUUCGAUGCAACGCGAAGAACCUUACCUGGUCUUGACAUCCACGGAAGUUUUCAGAGAUGAGAAUGUGCCUUCGGGAACCGUGAGACAGGUGCUGCAUGGCUGUCGUCAGCUCGUGUUGUGAAAUGUUGGGUUAAGUCCCGCAACGAGCGCAACCCUUAUCCUUUGUUGCCAGCGGUCCGGCCGGGAACUCAAAGGAGACUGCCAGUGAUAAACUGGAGGAAGGUGGGGAUGACGUCAAGUCAUCAUGGCCCUUACGACCAGGGCUACACACGUGCUACAAUGGCGCAUACAAAGAGAAGCGACCUCGCGUGAGCAAGCGGACCUCAUAAAGUGCGUCGUAGUCCGGAUUGGAGUCUGCAACUCGACUCCAUGAAGUCGGAAUCGCUAGUAAUCGUGGAUCAGAAUGCCACGGUGAAUACGUUCCCGGGCCUUGUACACACCGCCCGUCACACCAUGGGAGUGGGUUGCAAAAGAAGUAGGUAGCUUAACCUUCGGGAGGGCGCUUGCCACUUUGUGAUUCAUGACUGGGGUGAAGUCGUAACAAGGUA